rnacentral:lncRNA from 10 species
CUUUUGUGCUGCUGUUCUAAGCAGAGUUGGGCCUGGUUAAUAUGUGAUGUUUUCCUUCGGUGCUGUUUAGCCCCAGUGUUCUUUGGAGUCCGGGGAAGUUUGGCCUUUAAAAAUCAAACUGCCAUGGACACUGCUUUACCCAAAAUUUUGGUUCACAUUCUUCACUGGAUUAACUAUUGGGGCAAACAACGUAUAACCAUGUAAAACCAGUACGCUUGUAUUGGCAUUUCAUGGCUAGAGUUCUAAGUCACAAGCACCUCUUCGGCAAAGCCCACCUCCCUCUCUCGCUUGAUUCCCCGGCCAUCCUUAUCAAAGACCUUCCAGGUGAACAGGCAGCCAUCCUCAGCAGCAGUCAGCAGGAACUGAUCAUCAAAGAAACUUGCAAAAAUAGCACAGAGAGAGUGGACUUCUGGAAUGGCACGCCAGUAGACAAGAUUUGACUCUGGAGGUGACGUCUGAGCCAAUAGGUAUUUGGAGUCUGGAGAAAAAGCCAUGCUAAUAAAUUUCUGAACUUGGAAGUCAAAAUUAUUAAGAACUUUGCGCUUCCGGCAAGGGAUGGAUGACAAUUCAUAAAUGGUGAUGGCAGGUUUUUCUUGCACAGUCUCAGAGAUAGCGAGGUACCGCCGAUUGGGACUGAUGGACAAGGCCAACAUGCCCUGACUCUUCUCUGAGCCUGCAAACAGAGGAAAAAGGAAAUAAUCAGGGUAGAUCACACUUUCACCAGGGUUCAACAGGAACCAGGCACUGUGGUGGGCACUGGAGUGGACAGUGGUGGACACAAAGAAGAAAGGCGGCCUUGGCAUAGCUGUGUUUGGGUAUUAUGAAAAUGACUAGGGGCCAGGUGUGGUGGCUCACGCCUGUAAUCCCGGCACUUCAGGGGGCCGAGGUGGGCAGAUGACUUGAAAUGGGGAGUUCAAGACCAGCCUGGCCAACAUGGUGAAACCCCAUCUCUACUAAAAAUAAAAAAAUUAGCCGGGUGUGGUGGCAGGCACCUGUAAUCCCAGCUACUCGGGAGGCUGAGGCAGGAGAAUCACUUGAACCUGGGAGGUGGAGAUUGCAGUGAGCUGAGAUCAUGCCACUGUACUCCAGCCCGGGAGACAGAGCGAGACUGUCCCCAAAAGAAAAUGACUAGGGCAGGCACCUUGGAGGAUGAGGUGGGAGGAGAAGUCAGGGAAACCUUCCUGAAGGAGGGCAGGGGGUGAGGUGAGAUGGGGACUGGGUGGUAGAUAGCAGGAAGAGCUUGAGCCACGGGGUGGAUGUGACAAAGGGUACAGCAUAGUGCGGGAACUGCAAGCAGUGGGUGUUGCUGGAGCAUUGCAUGUGAGAUGGGGUGACCAAAGAUGGGCCUAAAGGGGUGGAAUAGGGUCAGACCAUAGAGGUCUUUAUUCCCUGAGUGGCUAGCUCAUCACUCCUCCUCUACUCCAGAGGUUGGGAUGCCAACUACUGGAUUCCUCAGCCUCCCUUGCACUCACCCUUCCUAAAAUUUUUCAGCAGCCUCCCAGGUGAAGUCCAAACUUUUGUGCAAGGCUCUCAGUGACCUAGAACCUGGGAUCUUCUCUGAGCCACAGCUACUCUCUGCAUCCCUUCCAGAGAAUUCCCAUGGGCUGGGCAUGCACGCCUGCUGAGCAACUUGCUGCAUCUCUCCUUGGCGUGUUGUGAAGCAGCAGCAUGAGGGCCCAACACAUGGGGACCCGUCACAUCACUCUCUAGCUCAUCCUCCCUUGCCUCACUCACGCUCCCUGCCCUGGGCCUGUAUCCACCAUCCACUUAUCCACUAGACACAGUGCCCAGGACCCACAAUACUUUUGAGGACCUAGGAAAAUGUUUUAGUAUUUAUUUGAAAAUCAGAAAAAACAUGAAUAUAUAAUGGUGAAUCCAGCCUAGAUUAUAUUCCUCUUUAUACCAA